GGGUAUGAGCAGCCAGGAUAUUGAUAGGGGCAGUCAAGAAAAGAAUUCUACUGAAAUAAGUAAUUGGUUCUGGAAAAGGAUGUUUCAAAAUUCUUAUCUGAUGGCAGUCUGAAGUCCUGGAAGAAAGAUUUCCACUUUUUCUACUGGAUAUAGCUGUGUCUACAUGGAAUACCUGGCAAAUGGACUCAUCCAGCAACCAUGAAAGAACAAGACAGAGCUGCCGAGCAAAAAGGAGAGAACCUGGGUGCAUGGAAUAUUGUCAAACCACUGUGUUAGUUAGUGGUACCCAGAAUUGCCUACCUUUGGUUUUCUUGUUAUAUAAGUUGUUUUCUCAAAUAUGUUUCAUUGGGCUUUCUGUUUCUUAAAAAAGAUUCUAAGUGACAUACUGUAAAAGAAAAGGCUGAGAAAAACUGACUUUAUUGAGGUCAUACUACAUAACAAAUAUUUUGCAUCCAUUAUUUGGCUUAAUUUUUAUAACCACCUUAUGAAGUUCAUAUUUGAUCUCCAUUUAAAGAGGAGUACAACCCAAAAAGCCUGAAUUUUCCCCCAUGAGGUCAGAAGUCUUGACCCAAAAUUUUCAUAUGCAUCAUCAAGCAUUGCAUCUAGUUUUGACUGAUACCUGUUUCCCAGACUUCAAACUUUUAUGAAUUUCAAAGUACUUCAGUAGAACAUGGGGGUAUGAGUAAAAAUUGCAAAAUAAGGCAGAUUGUUCAAACCUUAGCACAUUUAUUAGUUUGGUGAACUAAGAUUACUCAGAUCCUAAAUUCUGUAUUAGUAUUUGUAAAAGGCAAUAAUAGUACCUAUUCACAAAUUGUACAACAUUUAACAAAUACCAAUACAGCUUAGUCAUGUAACAAAUGUGCUUUAUUUAUAUUAAUGCUGCUAGUGCAAAAUAUACAGUCAAGUUUUAAAAAUCAUAUCAUAGAAUUUUAGGACUAUAAGAGAUUGCAGAAAUGAAAUUUUGUAAUACACCUGCCAUUGAGCAUAGAAAACUUAACCUGCAAUUCAAAAAAUAGCUCAGAGCUAAAUAUAUAAGUGAUCUUCUUAUGAGUUACUUUUAAAAAGCUAAAUAUAAUAACUUUAUGUCAUUAAAUUUAUGAUAACCGUCAUUUGGAAUUAAUGACCAGCUACGUAAACACAGCUACAUGGAGAAAGAAAGGAAAACAAAUUUAGUUAGAAUUUAAGAACAUGGUCAUCUUACUGCAUUUUACCAUAUCUGGUGGACAACUCUGUAGUGUUGUAUAAUUGAGAAAACAUUAAACUUGGAAUCAAAAGAUGUAGCUGACAUCAAGCCCCUUCUCCAUUAUUCAUUAUGUCUGUAACUUUGUGCAAGUCAUUUACUGCCUCUAAAUCUCAAUCUUUUUAUCUUUAAAAUGGGAGUGAUAAUUUAGCCUUUUGCUUAUCUCACAGAUUAAUUCUAAAGUCAAAGUAUAUACAAAAGCCUUUUAUGCAUUGAAAUAUGCAGCAUACAUGAAAGGAAAAUAAUAAAAAUUUCAGUGAACACAAACGGUGGAAACUUCAGACUGCAUAUUCUGUAACGUGUUCUUGAAGUUAUUUUUCCUUAGGAUAUUUACUCAUUACCUACUCUGAAGAAUCAGCAGCCUUUCUGAAACUGCACACUACUAACAUAGCAUAGUGCCAUGGAUGGCUAUAGAUUCAACCUGAGCCUUUUGAUGAUGAUGAGCUUUGAAGGAUUCCCAUCUCUAGAGCUGUGCGCACUUUGCUCACUGUACUUGAUAGAAUCAAGCUACAGGCUUAGCAUAUGAUAGUUGGUUUGAGUCAAGUUUGGAAAUCACUCAAUCAAGAAACCACUCAAUCACCCUGUCUAGAAAACAAAUGAAUUAGAGAAGAAAAAACCAAGAUGACUCAGACCCAAUUCUCAAAGUGUUUUUAAUGGGACAUUGAUUCGGCCCAUACUGAAUUUUAUUUACUAAAAAUAAAAAAUAA
ensembl:lncRNA LINC01878 long intergenic non-protein coding RNA 1878